UAAGAGGCAAAAUAUAGUCUUCUGGGAAAGAGGCUGAAAACAAGGACUUCUUCCACCAAGCGUGGUGGAAAUGUAUGGUCUGAAGCACUUGGCUGAGAAGACAAUGCAAGGAGAAAGGUUUCCAUCCCAGCAGGACCUGGAAUGCUUCCUGAAUAACUGGAGCUGGUAUGGGAGGAAGGGACUUCACUGACCUGUGAAGAUCAAGCUGCUGGCACUUAAUGUGGCUGUGAAAGAAUUUAUAAGCUGAAGAGCUUAUAAGCAGCAAGAUGACUGGCAUGGAAGUGCACGUGCUUCAGGAGGACUUCAAGGAUGACCCAAGAAGUCUGUAAGCUCAGGUAAAGAAACCUGCUAAAAGUGAAGUCUGACAAAGCAGAGCCCUCACCCAACUCCUGAUUCCCACUUGGACAGUGAUUUCUACUCACUUUCCAAGCCCUGAGCACUUGCAGAGCUGAGGAGACAUGCCUGGGCACAAGUGAGACUGAUGUCCUUCUGUAAGUACAGCUUACAUAGCUUCUAUCAUACAGCUUGAUACAGGCUGCUCAGAAAUACAAGAUAUUCUUCUGCAUAUGA